AGUGGCAAACGGCUGAGUAACGCGUAGGAACCUACCCCAAACUCGAGUAUAGCCCCGCGAAAGCGGGGGUAAUCCUCGAUAGCCCGUGAAGUAUUUUACUUCACGGUAAAGCUUUUGCGGUUUGGGAUGGGCCUGCGUCCUAUCAGGUAGUUGGUGAGGUGAAUGCUCACCAAGCCUAUGACGGGUAGCUGGUCUGAGAGGAUGGUCAGCCAGACUGGGACUGCGACACGGCCCAGACUCCUACGGGAGGCAGCAACUAGGAAUUGUGCGCAAUGGACGAAAGUCUGACGCCGCGACAUCGCGUGGAGGAUGAAGGUCUUCGGAUUGUAAACUCCUUUUCUUACCGAACAAGUUCUGAGUGUAGGUAAGGAAUAAGUGCCUGCUAACCACGUGCCAGAAGCAUCGGUAAUACGUGGGGCACGAGCGUUAUCCGGAUUUACUGGGCGUAAAGAGAAGCGUAGGCGGCUCAAUAAGUUUGGUGUUAAAUCUUCCGGCUCAACCGGAAACAAGCACCGAAAACUAUCGAGAUUGAGUCGAGUAGGGAAGAGGGGAAUUCCUGGUGGAGCGGUUAAAUGCGUAGAUAUCAGGAGGAAUACCAAGGGCGAAGGCACCUCUUUGGACUCGUACUGACGCUGAGGCUCGAAAGCGUGGGUAGCAAAACGGAUUAGAUACCCGUGUAGUCCACGCCGUAAACGAUCCCUGUUAGAUGUAUGUUUUGUC
rnacentral:rRNA from 1 species